rnacentral:rRNA from 1 species
UCCAGACUCCUACGGGAGGCAGCAGUGGGGGAUAUUGCACAAUGGGGGGAACCCUGAUGCAGCGACGCCGCGUGGGUGAAGGAGCACCUCGGUGCGUAAAGCCCUAUCGGCAGGGAAGAAACAGACGGUACCUGACUAAGAAGCCCCGGCUAACUACGUGCCAGCAGCCGCGGUAAUACGUAGGGGGCAAGCGUUAUCCGGAUUUACUGGGUGUAAAGGGAGCGUAGACGGAAAGGCAAGUCAGAAGUGAAAGCCCAAGGCUCAACCAUGGGACUGCUUUUGAAACUGUCAAACUAGAGUGCGGGAGAGGUAAGAGGAAUUCCUAGUGUAGCGGUGAAAUGCGUAGAUAUUAGGAGGAACACCAGUGGCGAAGGCGUCUUACUGGACCGAAACUGACGUUGAGGCUCGAAAGCGUGGGGAGCAAACAGGAUUAGAUACCCCUGUAA